ACAUUGGUGGCUCAAUGGUAGAAUUCUCGCCUCCCACGUGGGAGACCCAGGUUCGAUUCCUGGCCAAUGCA